UUAAUCAGUUCCAAAAAAUGGGAUUAGAAAGAGAUUAGCAACCAUAUUCUUCGGGUUGUUGUAGAUAAUAUCAUCGGACUGAUACUAACAUAGUUAACCGACUGUCGUAAGCCAAUCUUAUAUGAUACCGUCUCUUAAACUAUCGAUCUACUGGGACAUCAGACCAAGAUGGGUCUAAGAAUGGUGGUUGAUCAGGACCAUCUGGUAACUGUGGAAGCUAGGGGUUAGUCGUCAUCUGAUUCUAAUUCAAUAUGAAUUCCCUGCACUCUGGCUUCGCCUCGAACCUGUAGAAAAAUUGAAAUGUAAGUCCAUGAUGUACAACAAAAACACUUUAAAAGAUGGAGGUACUGAAGGGGUUAUUAAGUUACAUAGCGUACUGAUGAAUUUAUGACGAAGGAGAUAUCGUCAGUUUAGUGUGAGGGGAUUUCCUUAUCCAAAACGUGAGUGCCUCAGUAACUUUCUUUGGUCUUAUCUUCAUCAAACGUGUCGCAGAGAAAUUCAUUCCUCUCUCUUCUUUAUCUCUCUUCUUCUUCUUCUUCUUUUUCUUCUUCUCUUCCUUUCUUCCAUGUUCUUCGUCUGUUGGCGAUUUUGAGAAUCAGUUCAUGAUUCUAAGUUGAUAUAAAGCUUAUAUAGAUUGAAGGUUAAAUGAUGGUGAUAGUUUUGAUUUAUCUGGUGAAAAUCAAACCCAACAUAAAAGUUAGUCUUUAUUAACAACGAACGAUUCAAAGGAUGAUCUGGUGGAUCACGGAUCUCGAGGUAGGAGUGGUUUGCCUUCCAAACAGUUUCAGUAAUCAUAAAGAAUGAAGCGUGCGAAUAUAUCCGUUUUCAUAGCUUAGUGCUCUACCUAAUAUUAGUGUUGCCGUGUAUAUGUAUUUUAUGUAUUCUUUCUUUAUUCUGUAAAACAACACAAUUAUAUACUUAUAUAACAUGAGAGACUUUCAAAAUACUGUAUCAGAGAGUUUGGGUUUGUUUGUUAGUGCUUUAUGUGAAGAUGGUUCUUAAGAUUUAUAAUAUGGAUUUGAUGCUUCAA